UACGUAGGGUGCGAGCGUUGUCCGGAAUUAUUGGGCGUAAAGAGCUCGUAGGCGGCUUGUCGCGUCGGAUGUGAAAGCCCGGGGCUUAACUCCGGGUCUGCAUUCGAUACGGGCAGGCUAGAGUUCGGUAGGGGAGAUCGGAAUUCCUGGUGUAGCGGUGAAAUGCGCAGAUAUCAGGAGGAACACCGGUGGCGAAGGCGGGUCUCUGGGCCGUAACUGACGCUGAGGAGCGAAAGCGUGGGUAGCGAACAGG
rnacentral:rRNA from 1 species